rnacentral:rRNA from 1 species
UACGGAGGUGGCAAGCGUUGCUCGGAAUCACUGGGCGUAAAGGGCGCGUAGGCGGGGAGGUAAGUCGGGUGUGAAAUCCCUCGGCCCAACCGAGGAACUGCGCCCGAGACUGCCUCUCUUGAGUCCCGGAGAGGAAGAUGGAAUUCCCGGUGUAGCGGUGAAAUGUGUAGAGAUCGGGAGGAACACCGGUGGCGAAGGCGGUCUUCUGGACGGUGACUGACGCUGAGGCGCGAAAGCGUGGGGAGCAAACGGG